rnacentral:rRNA from 1 species
GACGAACGCUGGCGGCGUGCCUAAUACAUGCAAGUCGAGCGGACUGAUUAAGAGCUUGCUCUUAUGACGUUAGCGGCGGACGGGUGAGUAACACGUGGGCAACCUGCCCUGUAGAUCGGGAUAACACCGAGAAAUCGGUGCUAAUACCGGGUAAUAUCUGAGAUCACAUGAUCUUAGGUUAAAAGAUGGCUCCGGCUAUCACUACAGGAUGGGCCCGCGGCGCAUUAGCUAGUUGGUAAGGUAAUGGCUUACCAAGGCGACGAUGUGUAGCCGACCUGAGAGGGUGAUCGGCCACACUGGGACUGAGACACGGCCCAGACUCCUACGGGAGGCAGCAGUAGGGAAUCUUCCGCAAUGGACGAAAGUCUGACGGAGCAACGCCGCGUGAGUGAUGAAGGGUUUCGGCUCGUAAAGCUCUGUUGUUAGGGAAGAAACAGUACCGAACGAACUAGGUCGGUACCUUGACGGUACCUAACCAGAAAGCCACGGCUAACUACGUG